rnacentral:rRNA from 1 species
AUUGAACGCUGGCGGCAGGCCUAACACAUGCAAGUCGAGCGGAUGAAGGGAGCUUGCUCCUGGAUUCAGCGGCGGACGGGUGAGUAAUGCCUAGGAAUCUGCCUGGUAGUGGGGGAUAACGUCCGGAAACGGGCGCUAAUACCGCAUACGUCCUGAGGGAGAAAGUGGGGGAUCUUCGGACCUCACGCUAUCAGAUGAGCCUAGGUCGGAUUAGCUAGUUGGUGGGGUAAAGGCCUACCAAGGCGACGAUCCGUAACUGGUCUGAGAGGAUGAUCAGUCACACUGGAACUGAGACACGGUCCAGACUCCUACGGGAGACAGCAGUGGGGAAUAUUGGACAAUGGGCGAAAGCCUGAUCCAGCCAUGCCGCGUGUGUGAAGAAGGUCUUCGGAUUGUAAAGCACUUUAAGUUGGGAGGAAGGGCAGUAAGUUAAUACCUUGCUGUUUUGACGUUACCAACAGAAUAAGCGCCGGCUAACUUCGUG